rnacentral:lncRNA from 1 species
CCCUUCUGUGUCAAUCAUUUGUCCCUCGAGUCCCCACUGGUUAGUGCAUCUUGCUCCCUCCCUCUUUGUAUCCCCAUUGGCCCUGAAUUUGUGAUCCCCUCCCCUUAACUCCUCCCCUCGAGAUUCCCCAUUGGUCCAUGGUUUGUACCCGCCCCUGGAGAUCAGGCUGUACUUAACUGCCUGCACAGGAGGGUUUGGGGUUUUCUCUGACUUGACUCCUUCGUGUGUGGGUCCCAUGUUUUCCCCAGCCUAAUAAAACCAUUGCUGUGAACUUAAAUCCAAGAGAGGCUCCUCUACUUUCUUACCUCCACCCCGACGCCGUGCACCGCAGAGCUUGGGGCGGCCCAAGACCCUGGAGGUUUCGCUGAGGGAAAAGCCUGAUCCCCAGUGAUUCCCCACUCCUGGCUCUUGCCUGCAUCGGACUGCAAAAGAACACCACGGAGCUAGCCGGAGCUGUGGUGCAGUACUGUGUCAACCCAGGGGAAAAAAACAAAUCCAAACAACACCGCAAAAGAACAGCACAAGAAUUUGAAAAGCUUUCUCUGACUUUUAAGCCAAGUGUUCUGAUGGCUACCAAGUAUAGCCCCUGAAGAUGGAGGUGGGUUUCUCCUGUGGUUCAAGUGCUAACCUAGGACUCAGAAGAGAAGUGUUCAAUGUCCUGCUGUGCUACAGACUUCUGGAGCAAGAAGUGUGAUAUUUCAUUUCAUCACCUCUGACAAAGGCAUCAUUUCAUCUGUAUUCUAGGGAUUUUAUUCAGGUAAACAAAUGUAAAUAUUAAUGUCCUUAAGAAGAUUGCAUUUAAGGUAUACUUAUGUAAGAAUUUAUCAACAUGCUUCUAUAUUUAAUAAUUUUAGAUAAAAACUGUAGCUUUUAUUCAAGUUUACAGUUUUCACUAUACUAGGAAUUUUCCUUGACUAUGUAUGAAAAAAAAAUAAUCAUUACCCUGGAACUUAACAAGAUACAUUUAUUCCUGUGUUAUGGUAAAGGAGGAAGUUCAGUU